rnacentral:siRNA from 1 species
UACGGUGUCGAUCGACACUGGU